AGAUCGCAGCCCAGAGUCUGCGGAGGCGCACCGUUUCAUCAACAGCAGGGACUGAAACUUCAGCCCAGGAGAAGCCAAGAUGGCACCGUUAUCGCACCCUGGGAAUCGAGGACCGGGAAGAACUUAAUGGUCAGUGCCUGGAUGGUGACAGGUGCUCCAGUGAACUCAGGCAAACUACCUUUUCCUGCGACAGCCGAUUAUCUUUGUGCAGCUUUCAGUUUGCGGCCCCUAACCUCCUCCAGCCCAUAAACUCAGGCCUCCAGUGUUCUGAUCUUUCUCUUUGCCUUUCCGCCUUUCCAGAUGCGAUUCCUCCCGUGAUCUCAGUGAUUGUAUCAGGCGAAAACGAGGAGGGCAAAAUACCGUCCAGAUGUAAACUAGGAGCAGCCGCACCAGCAGCACCAGCAGAAUGCCGUGGUAGUGCGGCAGGCCCUGGCCCCAUGGACAAAGAGAAACUCGUCAGUGGCAGUGGCCACGAACUCAGAAAGCCUGAGGACAGUCAGCAGCUCCUCUGGCUCUUCACUUUCACACUGGUGCAACUACAGGAGCUGAAGAACAUUUUUCAACUCGUUCCAUACCCGGACGUGUUAGGAUCAGAUUCAUCAUUGGACUCCUGGACCUAUCACUGCGGACCUCAAAUGUGCACCUUUUAAGCCCUUUCCUUCACUCCUGACUGAUUGAUUUGGGAUCCACUGCUAAGUCAGACUUUUGAACCAUUGUUCCAGGCAAACUUCUGUUAAAGCUGUGGCCUCAGGGAUAUGGAAUUAAGAUCCACCUGGUGUGAUGAAUAAACCCAGACUCUCAGCAACGCAGGAAAAAAAAAACAAAAACUGGCUGGCGAUCUGGAGUAAAGGAUCCUCACAUCCACGUGAACCAGGAAACUCUGUGCCCAAAUCGACGAAAAAAAAACACUGGGAGAGCCGAACUAAAAGUCUUUUAGCACGGGUACCAGCCCUAGAAUUUCCAGUACACCAGCAGCAGCCUGGAAACCACAUCCUCAUCAAAAGACAGAAAGAAAAAAACUCGAGCCAGCCUGAGAAGGACCCUAUUUUAUGCUGUUAACCACUGAGACUGCCAUCCUCACAGCUGAGAAAGGAUGGACCCACCAUACUCAAGUCAAGAAAACAUCUUCCUCGUCAGAAUCAUGGGUUACUGUACUAGGAUUAAGCCUUACUAAGUUAAAGUUAAAGAAAGCUUAAUUUUCAUAUACCUUCUAUAUUGCUUCUUUUCCUUUCCUUAUUCUGUUACUAGCUCCUUUGUUAUUAAUGUAACUAAGUCUGAGUCACCUCAGACCAUUGCCUUUUAUGCUUGCUCUGUCAUACCUUGUGGAAAUGUAAAAGAUCAAUGACAGCUAGCCUUUUCACACAAUUAUUUAUGCCUCGGCCCUCUAAUUGACACAGUUACCCCUAGCACUCAUCGUUGUGAUCACCUGCAGCCAAGACGCUGAUUUUCUGCUCCUAUAGCCUGGCAACCUUGUGGUACAUGGGACUACGUCCUUUAAACUACCCAGGAGCAAAGUUGGACUUCCAUGAAAAAGGUUUGUGCAGAUCUAAAACCUCUCAUCUAUUUCACUAAAAGGACUUCCCCUUCUAACUGUCACCCUUACCAAUGUAACCCUGUCCUCUCUAUCACCACCUCCACCUGUCUUUAACUAACUCUAGACCUGUCCUUAAUUGCUUUUAUGGUAUUGGAAUAGGAAUUAAAAGAAAUUAAAGAAUGUGUAAGGAGAAACUCAGUUGUAUGUAAGAAAACCCAAUUCCCCCUGAGAAAGAGAAAGAGUUGGAGUCCUUUAAAAAUUAACUGCCUGUUUUUCUGUGGCUAGUGAGCCUUAUCUCUCCUCCUUUCCCAGACAUUGUGAAGACCCUGUUUCUCUAGCUGUGCAGCUGCAAGGUCACUAGACAGAUAAACUCAAGUUGUAAAACAUGUUUUUCCUUGAAAAGUAAGAAAUGCUGUAAUGCAUUUCUCAAUUAAUUAAAUAACUGUCUUUGUUUCUCGCUUCUGUAAUAUGCUUCCCCCUGCACAGAUCUCCACCCACCCUACAAAAUGCUUAAAAGGUAACUUAACUCUUUGUUCUGGGCUCAGUCCUUUGGGCUGAGUACUGGGCCGGUGCACCUAAAUAAUAAAUAUCUUCCUGAACCCCAUUUGUCU
rnacentral:lncRNA from 1 species